GGUUUGAGGUUUCGGAAACAAUAGAUCUUGAACAUCUAUAAAAACGUUCAACUCGUUAUCAAACUUAA
rnacentral:tRNA from 1 species